rnacentral:tRNA from 1 species
GGUUCCAUGGUCUAGUGGUCAGGCUAUUGGGCUCUGAAUUCAGUAAUUCGAGUUUAAAUUCGGUGGAACUU